rnacentral:lncRNA from 1 species
UCGGCUUCAUUCGAAAAAGCUCGAAAUCAUGUAUUAAAAUGUUAACUUUCGAGUCUUUGACUCUACUAGUUCCCUCGUGCGUGAUUUCAAGUGUUCGCUAAAUAUCAAAAGCCGUUUCGCACGUUGAAAUCCGAUUGAACUCAUUUUUGUCCAAAGCACAAAAUAAGGCAUUCAUAGCCUUUGCGUUUAAAGAAAACAUCUUCUUCUCCAAAUC